GUUUCAUAGAAUAAUUAAUAUGAAGAAAAUGGGAAUCAAAGCAAUUGCUUUUGUUGGCCUUUUCUUAACUAUGUUUCUUCUACUUUCGUCACAAGUUGCAGAAGCUAGGCAAUUCAAUCUCAUUUCCUCUGCACAAAUUGAAGAUAGACAAAUUUUCGAUUUUUACAGAACAGUUCGCACAUUGAAGCAAUAUGAAGAUCUUCCAACAUAUCCAGAAGCUCCAUGCAAAUACGGCUGCAAAUGAAUACAAAAACGACGACGUCUCAUUGCUGCUUUUAUUUUAUUAAUAUAGUACUAUCAUGUUUCUAUUUUUUGUAAUAUUGUGAAAGUUUUUGGAAUAAAAAAUCACUCAGCUGUAAUAUGGUCGCCCAUGGGCCACAUAAUUAAUAUGAUCAUCUAAUUAUCUUA